AUUGAACGCUGGCGGCAGGCCUAACACAUGCAAGUCGAACGAGUGGCGGACGGGUGAGUAAUGUCUGGGAAACUGCCUGAUGGAGGGGGAUAACUACUGGAAACGGUAGCUACUACCGCAUACCAUCGGAUGUGCCCAGAGGGGAGUAGCUAGUAGCUGGGGUAAAGGCUCACCUAGGCGACGAUCCCUAGCUGGUCUGAGAGGCUGACCGGCCACACUGGGACUGAGACACGGUCCAGACUCCUACGGGAGGCAGCAGUAGGGAAUAUUGCACAAUGGGCGCAAGCCUGAUGCAGCCAUGCCGCGUGAAUGAAGAAGGCCUUCGGGUUGUAAAGUUCUGUCAGCGGGGAGGCGUUACCCACAGAAGAAGCACCGGCUAACUCCGUGCCAGCAGCCGCGGUAAUUC
rnacentral:rRNA from 1 species